rnacentral:rRNA from 1 species
UACAGAGGGGGCAAGCGUUGUUCGGAAUUACUGGGCGUAAAGGGCGCGUAGGCGGCCAACUAAGUCAGACGUGAAAUCCCCAGGCUCAACCUGGGAACUGCGUCUGAUACUGGAUGGCUUGAAUCCGGGAGAGGGAUGCAGAAUUCCAGGUGUAGCGGUGAAAUGCGUAGAUAUCUGGAGGAAUACCGGUGGCGAAGGCGGCAUCCUGGACCGGCAUUGACGCUGAGGAGCGAAAGCUAGGGGAGCAAACGGG